UACGUAGGGUGCAAGCGUUGUCCGGAAUUAUUGGGCGUAAAGAGCUCGUAGGCGGUUUGUCGCGUCGGCUGUGAAAACCUGGGGCUCAACCCCGGGCCUGCAGCCGAUACGGGCAAGCUAGAAUUCGGUAGGGGAGACUGGAAUUCCUGGUGUAGCGGUGAAAUGCGCAGAUAUCAGGAGGAACACCGGUGGCGAAGGCGACUUACUGGACACGUAUUGACGCUGAGGUGCGAAAGCGUGGGGAGCAAACAGG
rnacentral:rRNA from 1 species